ACCCGUCCGCCUGCACCCAAAGAGCUAAAUCCGCCGCCUCCCCGGCGCUAAUUCAUCCUCGCGACGCCGCCUCCCCAAAAAAUGCAUCUUUGCUUUGGGCCGCCCAUCCCGCUCCCGAGAAGAUCAGGCGAGCGCGGUGGCUCGGUCGACUCGCCACGCCACGGCCGGCCGCGCUUGCUUGAUUCGGCUCCCUGAACUCUACUGCUGCUGGGUCGUGGCGUUCGUUCCGGCGGAUGUCCCGCUCCGACGGCGACCCCGUGAUCCGGCUGUGGAGUACUCGCUCUCAGGGACGGGCCGGUCGCCGCACGUUCUGCCGUUUCUGGGGCUGCCCGACGUCGCGCCUCCCUCAGACGUGGCACCUGCCUCCGACGUCGCCGCAACCUGCAACACCGGAGAGAUUGAUGCAGAAUUUGUUGAAGUGCUUGCCUUCAGGUAACUAUUCGAAUUCUGAUCUCAGUUAGAUUAUUUGCCUACCCAGUUAGGAGAGCGCUCAAGAAUUCAAAAGUUGUGUCUGGUGGUGGUGCUAUUGAUAUGGAAGUAAGCAAGUAUCUCAGGCAGCAUGCACGGACCAUAGCUGGGAAGUCUCAGUUUUUUUUUGUUAAUUAAUUUGCUAAAGGUCUUGAGGUAUUAUCUUCCUGGCCUAUUCUUUUCCAUCCAAUGUAUAUUCUCCUAUACUUUUGUAAUCAUACUUGAUGGAGGAGCUUUUAAGAUGUGUCAUCAAGGGUUGCUUAGAUUUUAGAUCUCAGACCAAGGGUGGAUUAAACUACUUAACCCUCAUAGUUCAAGAUUCGAGCAUCUUGAAUGGGUGACAAUUGUGUGAUUGGCAGAAAUACAUACAACAUUAGAAUUCACAUAUAUCAAUAGUUUGUGCCAACCACUUGGCCUUGAAGUGUCCUUGAGCUUUGAUAGGCUACUGGUUGGUUGAAGUUUCUCUGAAAUAAGGAAAAUAUGCAUGUCAUUGUUUUGUCUGAUCACUAUGACUUGUGAAUAACAUUAGAAUGUCAUAUUAUGUUGAUGACUCACUCACUUUUGCUUGAUGUUUGUUCACAGUUUUCAAAUACAUAGAAUGCAAGCUCCUUAGAUGAAAUACAUCUUCCUGCAGGUUAUUCCAAGACAGCUUUGUGACAAUACUGGAUUUGAUGCAACGGAUGUGCUAAAUAAGCUCAGACAGAAGCAUAUGGUGAAGGUGCUAACUAUGGUGUGGACAUCAACACUGGUGGAAUUGCCGAUUCCUUUUCUAACUUUGUGUGGGAACCUGUAGUUGUGAAGAUCAAUGCUAUGAAUGCUGCUACUGAAGCUGCGUGUCUUAUUGGAGAAGCUGUUUGAGCCAAUCACACAUCAAAUUCGUGAUUUUUUUUUUGCAAGCUGUUUCUUUGCAUAUUGGUGCUACAAUGUAGUUCAAAUAAUCUAAUUUCUUGCCUGCCGCUUGUGUCUGUAAUUCAGAGGAGAUAUAGCAAACCCAAAAGUACAGCUGAAACUGUUGUGCUUAUGUAGACACAAAAAAAAAACUGUUGUGCUUAUGUAUUUGUAUUUGUAGGUAUACAUACCAACAAUAAAAUGCUGGUUGGAAUUGACUGGAGACUUCUGCUU